UGGUUGACGAAGAAGUUGAAAAGCUUAAAGGCAAUCUACAAACAGUGACGGCGGUCCUCAAUGAUGCUGAGAAAAGACAAGUUACUGAGGAAACCGUGAAGCUUUGGUUAGAAAAGCUCAAGGAUGCAUGCUACAAGAUGAAUGAUGUGAUAGAUGAGUGGAACACUGCAAUGAUCAAAUCAACCAUUAAGAAAGAAGAAGAAAAUGUUGAUAAUGCUCAUCCUGUUAUGAAGAAGAAGGUACGUUCCUUCAUUAUCCCCUCUCCUUCAUGUUGUUUCCAUGAAGUUGAUAAACUUGUUAUGCGUCACUAUAUUGCUCAAAAAAGAUAAAAGAUUUGAAUAGAAAAUUAGAUGAAAUUGUCAAAGAGAAAGAUAGGUACCAGUUUAAGUUAACUAAUGACCCUGCCCCUGAAGUAUUUAAUCGACCAACAACUACCUCCUUUGUUGAUGUGUCCGAAAUAUUUGGUCGUGAAAACGUUAAGAAUAAUCUAGUGAGGAUCCUAUUGGGGAAAGGAGGUGAAGAAGAAAGAAGGCCCCGUGUCAUCUCUUUAGUGGGCAUGGGCGGACUUGGAAAAACUACUCUUGCCCAACUAGCCUACAAUGAUCCUAAGGUGCAAGACCAUUUUGAGAUAAAAGUUUGGGUUUGUGUUUCUGAUCCUUUUGAUAAGUGCAAGGUGGCGAAAGAAAUCCUUGAAUCUAUUGAGGGUCAAUCCCCCAAAUUGACUACAUUGCAAAGUCUAUUAGAUAGAAUUUGUGCUAACAUUGCAAACAAGAAGUUCCUUCUUGUCUUAGAUGAUGUGUGGGCUGAAGACUAUACGAUGUGGGAUCAAUUCAAAGUUGCAUUCAACUGUGUUGCCCUAAGCAGUAAAAUUAUAGUCACCACACGUAAAAGUAGAAUUGCGGAGAUGAUGGGAAGUGUGAGCAUGAUCAAUUUGAGUGAAUUGUCUAACUUAGACUGUUGGUUGAUAUUUAGUAAAAUAGCAUUUCUAGAUAAGGAUCUUGAGCAAUGUGAGCAACUUGAAGACAUUGGUAGGCAAAUAGCAAAGAGAUGCAAAGGCUUGCCACUUGCUGCAAAGACUCUAGGGAGUCUCAUGCGCUUCAAGAAAAGUAGAGAAGAAUGGAAGACUGUCUUGAAUAGCAAUUUGUGGGAAUUAGAAGAUGUUGAAAAAGGUCUUUUUGCAUCAUUGUUACUAAGUUAUUAUGAUUUGUCCUCACCAUUGAAACAAUGUUUCUCAUAUUGUGCUAUCUUGCCAAAAGGUUAUCUCUUUUCUAGUGAUGAUUUGGUAUUUAUGUGGAUGGCACAAUGAUAUAUUCCUUCAAAAUCAAAUAUGGAGAUGGAAGUCAUUGGAAGAGAAUACUUUGAAAAUCUAUUCAUACGCUCUUUCUUCCAAGUUUUUAAGGAAUAUCCGAAUGAUGACAAGAUAAAAAUAUGCAAAAUGCAUGACAUAGUGCAUGACUUUGCGCAAUUAAUGUCAAAAAAUGAAUGCUUCACGAUCAAUAGUGACAUAGAGUUGGAUUCAGCCAAAAAAGAAGACAUAGAGUUGGGAUUAGAUUUUAAAAAUGCUCGCCAUUUGUGGUUAGAAAUUUCUGGUGAGGCCCAAUUUUCUGUGUCCAAGUCCAAUAAUAGUGCAAAAAAUAUACGCACUCUCAUUCUUGUCAAUCACAAUGAUUACGACUUAUCUAAUUUAUUCCAACAUUUUAGAUGUUUACGGACAUUAACUUUAGAUGGUAUGUUAAAGGAACUUCCAGAUGCAAUGGAAAAUUUCAUACAUUUAAGGUAUCUCAAUUUAGUUAAUUAUUGUGGGCUCGGAUUGCCUGAAACUAUUUGUAAUCUUUGCAAUUUACAAAUUUUGAAGAUCAUGAUUAGAGAUGUUAGGUUCAAUAAAUUACCGCAGGGGAUGAGUAAGCUAAUUAACCUAAGGCAUUUUAUUUUGGAUCACUCCUUUGGGGUAGAUUUUCCAAGAGGGAUUGGAAGAUUGAUUUCUUUGAGAACAUUAAGUCAUUUCUACGUAAGUAGUAAGGAUGACAGUAAAGGAUGUAAACUUGGAUAAUUAAAAAAUUUGAACCACCUUCAAGGGACUCUUCGAAUAAUCGGACUAGGGAAUGAGGAAGAUAUAAGCGGGGCCAAGAAUGCACAGCUCAAGAAGAAGAUAGGCCUUCAUACUUUGUCACUAUGGUUUGUCGGAUGGGAUUUUGAGGAUACAAGGAGGGAGUCCGAUGCAUUAGUUCUAAAUGCCUUAGAGUCACCUCUAGACUUGGAAUGUUUAAGCAUUGAAAUGUACCAGGCCACCACAAUGUCUCUUAAUUGGACGAUGUCCUUGACCAAAUUGAAAAUGCUUGAUAUCCUAUACACAUUUUUAGAGCAUAUGCCUCCUCUAGGAAAACUUCCAUUUCUCAAAUCAUUACACAUAAAGGUUGCGAAAUAUUUGAAAAAGGUAGGAAAUGAAUUUUUGGGAAUAGAAUCCGGAAAGAAGAAAGACAAUAUAAUUGUAUUCCCAAAUUUGAAAACUCUCACAUUUGACAAUUUAAGAGAGUGGGAAGAAUGGAUUGGGAUUGGGAUUGGAGCAGAAGAAGAUGAAGAAGACUGUGUCAUUACCAUAAUGCCACAUCUUCAACAGUUGGAAAUUUGGAGUUGCCCAAAGCUAAAGUCAUUGCCAAACUUCCUUCAUACAACUCCAUUACAAAAUUUGGGGAUCUAUGACUGUCCAAUUGUCAAAGAACGUUGUGAAGGAGGGAUAGGAGAGGACUGGCACAAGAUUUCACACGUCCCAAACAUCAAUUUUGAUAUAAAACACGCUUUCCUUAAGGAUGUGAACGGCUAGGGUAUUGCAACAAUAAGCAACAUUGAUACAACGAUGGGUUGGUAUUACAUUUCGUGCUUGCUUUGUAGAAGGAAGGUCAAACCACAAUCAGGACCAUUUUGGUGUGCAAAAUGUGAAACAAAAACAAAUCUCCAUUUCCCAAGACUGGACUAGGGUUGAUGGUAUUGCAACAAUUUCGAGAGGCAACCACAAUUGCAUAUUGUGCAAGAUCUAUAUUUGCAGAAGCUGUAGGUUUUACAAGCAGCAUUGGGACUUUAUCAAUGGCAAUUAUCCA